CAUUGUAAAAUAAUUAAACUCACUGAAUAUCAUUAUUUAAUUUCAAUAAUUUAUCUUCUAAACGUAGAAGUAAACUCUGCCGCUUUAACAUCGCUGUAGUGCAGCUGCACGUCAUUUCGCGCCAGUUUGCUGCAUAGUCGUAUCCUACAGCGGAAGAUGUCGGACUCGGCUGAAGCGAGUGGCUGUUUUAUGAAGUGGACAUAUUCCCGUCUCUUCACUUUUCUGAAACAAGCAGACAAGAAUAUCACAGUAAUAUGUAAGCUAUGUGCUGGGGAGACAAAGCUAUUGGCUGCUGUUAAUAGCACGAGUAAUCUACUGAAGCGCCUGACACGAGAGCAUAGACGAACACUUCUGAGUGAUUCUUGUUCAUCAUCCAUGGAUAACACUGCGGCAACUCCUGCUAAGCAGGCAAAACUUGAUUUUACUUCAGCAGCACAGAAAGCGUCUGAAGGGUGAUUCUGGGGGUCCGCUGAUGUGUAAGCAGGACGGCUCUUGGUUCCAGGCGGUCGUGUUAACAGCUCUAAGCCCCUCUGCCAGGAGAAGACGAGAAGCUCCAGUUAUGACCUUCACCAGAGUGAGCUCCUUUGACUUCCUUCCUGAGAAGCUCGAGACACGCUUGUCUCCAGCCUUGAACACCACCGCCACCCCCACGAAUGCCCCCAUCACUACCACUACCAGCAGCACCUAUACCACCACUAUGGCCACCACCACAAAUGACUCAAAUAGUGUGUUUGACACCAGCGGGGGUCGUCCGGGUCAGGCCUUCAUAUUUGCCAUCUUCAACCUCCUCAGCCUCACCCUUUGUCUCCAACUCUUCCUGUAGAGAGUCUGACCUGAUUUACAUGAUGUCGCGGACACAAAUGAAUGUGAACAAGCCUCGACUUUGAGACUUUCAGGCUUAAAGCUGUGCCUGGAAAAAUUUGACUUGAUUCUUAACCGGUUAUCUAAAGAAAGCUCAGUGGUGAAGCUGUGGAGGAUCAAAUCCCACAUUCUACUGGACGAAUCAUCAGCACAAACAUCUGGACCACCUGAUGGAGAGGUUGACUACAAAUCCCAGAGUGCACUGCAGUAUUAACAGAAUAAUAUCCAGCUCCAGGUCCAGCUCCAGGAUCAAGGUCAACUACAUUCAUCCCGCCUUAGUGAGCAAACGUCAGCAAACAUCAGCUAAAGAGAUAAAAUUACAUAAAGAAUGUACAUGUGGAAAACAAAUGUUUGAUAUAAGGGAUGAAAGAAUAAAAAAUUGUGGGGUAAACACAAAAUGUGUCUGUUUUUUUGCUUUGAGAUGACGUGGAAAUCCUUCCUGUUUGCAGUACUGUCCUGGAAACAUAAACAGGAGUACAAUCCCUGAACAUGCUCAUGUACAUAUGGCACUGUGUGCAAACUCAGCUGUAACUUUGCAGCUACCUCCUGAGGAUGCAGGUUUUAGUGGGAGGAGAUAAAACAAGAAGAAGCUUCUGUGGUGUAAAUGCGGGUUUAAUAAAGCAUUCAUUAAAAACAAGGUACUGAAGGUACUUUCAGCAAAACAGACAUCAGCUCGGCGUGACCUCAGGCCAUUUCAAAAGGCACAAGGUCUCUUUUGGCGUUGAUGCUUUUAAUCCAAGACCCACUGCUGGGGGAUAAUGGCACCGUUUUAGAGACCUACAGUCGACAUUAUCACAAUCCACCAAGGGCGGACCCUGAUCAGGAAGGAAGCGAAAACCUGCACAUUCAGUCAGCUCCGUGUGAUCCGAGUAAGAUCGAUGCAGCUACUCAGAUGAA